rnacentral:rRNA from 1 species
UACGUAGGGUGCAAGCGUUAAUCGGAAUUACUGGGCGUAAAGCGUGCGCAGGCGGCUUUGCAAGACAGAUGUGAAAUCCCCGGGCUCAACCUGGGAACUGCAUUUGUGACUGCAUGGCUGGAGUGCGGCAGAGGGGGAUGGAAUUCCGCGUGUAGCAGUGAAAUGCGUAGAUAUGCGGGAGAACACCGAUGGCGAAGGCAAUCCCCUGGGCCUGCACUGACGCUCAUGCACGAAAGCGUGGGGAGCAAACAGG